GUGGAACGAUCUAGCUAGCUAGUUUAGCUAAUAUCAACUAUAUAUCAGUGUCGAAUGUUUCAGCUAGCUAGGUUAGCUAAUGUUAACUACUCUAUUUCAGUGUGGAAUGUUUUAGCUAGCUAGGCUAGCUAAUGUUAACUACAUUAUUUCAGUGUGGAAUGUUUUAGCUAGCUAGGCUAGCUAAUGUUAACUACAUUAUUUCAGUGUGUAAUGUUUCAGCUAGCAACUUUAGGUAAUUUGAACUACUUUAUUUCAGUGUGGAAUCUUUAUAGCUAGCUAGG